AAUUUGGCGUCGUUUUAUUGGCCGUCUGUUCGUGCGCAUUACGUCGGUGACCUGCAGGUGAACCGGAGACGUCAUGACGUCAGCAGGCGAACUUCCUGCGCCAUUUAAAACAACCCGGCCGAGCGCCUGGAAGGUGUGAAAGUUGGUGUUCUGUCCCAGUGGUCCGGCUCGCGAUGCGCCUCAGCUGAGAAGCCAGGUGCAUCUUCAUAUCUACACGCCGGCCUUGGAACGUCCACGGCCAGCAAUGAGAGACCGUCUUCCAAACUGCCCUGCUGCUGGAAUCAGUGGUCCAGACUGAAAGCCUGUAAAAGAGAAGGGGAGCCAUAGGAAGCCCAUCUGGACUCCAUCAGGACUAGAACUAUGUGAACACGACCUCUCACCACCCGGCGACUGCUUUUGAAGACGUCUGCACAGGUGAUUUAAUGCUG